GAUGAACGCUGGCGGCGUGCUUAACACAUGCAAGUCGAACGAAGCACUCUAUUUGAUUUUCUUCGGAAAUGAAGAUUUUGUGACUGAGUGGCGGACGGGUGAGUAACGCGUGGGUAACCUGCCUCAUACAGGGGGAUAACAGUUGGAAACGACUGCUAAUACCGCAUAAGCGCACGGUAUCGCAUGGUACAGUGUGAAAAACUCCGGUGGUAUGAGAUGGACCCGCGUCUGAUUAGCUAGUUGGUGGGGCAACGGCCUACCAAGGCGACGAUCAGUAGCCGACCUGAGAGGGUGACCGGCCACAUUGGGACUGAGACACGGCCCAAACUCCUACGGGAGGCAGCAGUGGGGAAUAUUGCACAAUGGGGGAAACCCUGAUGCAGCGACGCCGCGUGAACGAAGAAGUAUUUCGGUAUGUAAAGUUCUAUCAGCAGGGAAGGUAAUGACGGUACCUGACUAAGAAGCACCGGCUAAAUACGUACCAGCAGCCGCGGUAA
rnacentral:rRNA from 1 species